rnacentral:rRNA from 1 species
AUGAACGCUGGCGGCGUGCCUAAUACAUGCAAGUCGCGCGAACAGACGAGGAGCUUGCUCCUCUGACGUUAGCGGCGGACGGGUGAGUAACACGUAGAUAACCUACCUAUAAGACUGGGAUAACUUCGGGAAACCGGAGCUAAUACCGGAUAAUAUAUUGAACCGCAUGGUUCAAUAGUGAAAGACGGUUUUGCUGUCACUUAUAGAUGGAUCCGCGCCGCAUUAGCUAGUUGGUAAGGUAACGGCUUACCAAGGCAACGAUGCGUAGCCGACCUGAGAGGGUGAUCGGCCACACUGGAACUGAGACACGGUCCAGACUCCUACGGGAGGCAGCAGUAGGGAAUCUUCCGCAAUGGGCGAAAGCCUGACGGAGCAACGCCGCGUGAGUGAUGAAGGUCUUCGGAUCGUAAAACUCUGUUAUUAGGGAAGAACAAAUGUGUAAGUAACUAUGCACGUCUUGACGGUACCUAAUCAGAAAGCCACGGCUAACUACGUG